CAGGCCCAGCAAAGCCCAGCCCUUAGUCAGGGCGACCAGCUCUAGCCUUGUUCCUCCCAGGGACGGGCUGACUGCCUAACGCCAGCUCCUGGGUUUGAAGAAUGAACUCAAGCCAAUCUCCUAAACAAUUCACUGAGAAGUAAGGGAAUUCAGCAGAUCGGCUUACACCAUUUGGUCUGUGGAGCCCAACAAUGGCUAUUUGCACAGUGGAAAAGCUAGGAAGCCAGUAGCCGCUCACACCAUGAGGCUGCCCGUCCCAGCGUUGGCAGUCUGGUGCUGAAAGACUAGAGGAUUCCAGGAGAGCCACCGGCCUUCAGUUUACAUCGGAAGCCUGAAGAAGCUGGAUUCUGUAUCAAGGAAGAAUGUUCAAGAACAGGAGCAAUGGGGCAGAAGAACACACCAGAGAGACGUGAAGGCAGAGAG